rnacentral:rRNA from 1 species
GGCGAUUGACGUUACCCGCAGAAGAAGCACCGGCUAACUCCGUGCCAGCAGCCGCGGUAAUACGGAGGGUGCAAGCGUUAAUCGGAAUUACUGGGCGUAAAGCGCACGCAGGCGGUCUGUCAAGUCGGAUGUGAAAUCCCCGGGCUUAACCUGGGAACUGCAUUCGAAACUGGCAGGCUAGAGUCUUGUAGAGGGGGGUAGAAUUCCAGGUGUAGCGGUGAAAUGCGUAGAGAUCUGGAGGAAUACCGGUGGCGAAGGCGGCCCCCUGGACAAAGACUGACGCUCAGGUGCGA